CCUACGGGAGGCAGCAGUGAGGAAUAUUGGUCAAUGGGCGCGAGCCUGAACCAGCCAAGUCGCGUGAAGGAUGACGGCCCUACGGGUUGUAAACUUCUUUUGUCAGGGAGCAAUUGGGUCCACGCGUGGGCUUAGCGAGAGUACCUGAAGAAAAAGCAUCGGCUAACUCCGUGCCAGCAGCCGCGGUAAUACGGAGGAUGCGAGCGUUAUCCGGAUUUAUUGGGUUUAAAGGGUGCGUAGGCGGAAUAUCAAGUCAGCGGUAAAAAUUCGGGGCUCAACCCCGUCGUGCCGUUGAAACUGGUGGUCUUGAGUGGACGAGAAGUAGGCGGAAUGCGGGGUGUAGCGGUGAAAUGCAUAGAUAUCACGCAGAACACCGAUUGCGAAGGCAGCAUACCGGCGUCCAACUGACGCUGAAGCACGAAAGCGUGGGUAUCGAACAGGAUUAGAUACCCUAGUAGUC
rnacentral:rRNA from 1 species